rnacentral:rRNA from 1 species
AACGAACGCUGGCGGCAUGCCUAACACAUGCAAGUCGAACGAGACCUUCGGGUCUAGUUGCGCACGUGUGCGUAACGCGUGGGAAUCUGCCCUUCGGUUGGGAAUAACUGAGAUAAAUUUCAGCUAAUACCUUAUAAUGUCUUCGGACCAAAGAUUUAUCGCCGAGGGAUGAGCCCGCGUAGGAUUAGGUAGUUGGUGGGGUAAUGGCCUACCAAGCCGACGAUCCUUAGCUGGUCUGAGAGGAUGAUCAGCCACACUGGGACUGAGACACGGCCCAGACUCAUACGGGAGGCAGCAGUAGAGAAUAUUGGACGAUGAGCGAAAACCUGAUCCAGCAAUGCCGCGUGAGUGAUGAAGGCGUUAGGAUACUAAAGCUCUUUUCACCGGGGUGAUAAUGAACGUACCGGGGGAAUAAGCUCCGGCUAACUCCGUG